rnacentral:rRNA from 1 species
GACGAACGCUGGCGGCGUGCUUAACACAUGCAAGUCGAACGGAAAGGCCCUGCUUUUGUGGGGUGCUCGAGUGGCGAACGGGUGAGUAACACGUGAGUAACCUGCCCUUGACUUUGGGAUAACUUCAGGAAACUGGGGCUAAUACCGGAUAGGAGCUCCUGCUGCAUGGUGGGGGUUGGAAAGUUUCGGCGGUUGGGGAUGGACUCGCGGCUUAUCAGCUUGUUGGUGGGGUAGUGGCUUACCAAGGCUUUGACGGGUAGCCGGCCUGAGAGGGUGACCGGCCACAUUGGGACUGAGAUACGGCCCAGACUCCUACGGGAGGCAGCAGUGGGGAAUAUUGCACAAUGGGCGGAAGCCUGAUGCAGCAACGCCGCGUGCGGGAUGACGGCCUUCGGGUUGUAAACUGCUUUCGCCUGUGACGAAGCGUGAGUGACGGUAAUGGGUAAAGAAGCACCGGCUAACUACGUGCCAGCAGCCGCGGUGAUACGUAGGGUGCGAGCGUUGUCCGGAUUUAUUGGGCGUAAAGGGCUCGUAGGUGGUUGAUCGCGUCGGAAGUGUAAUCUUGGGGCUUAACCCUGAGCGUGCUUUCGAUACGGGUUGACUUGAGGAAGGUAGGGGAGAAUGGAAUUCCUGGUGGAGCGGUGGAAUACGCAGAUAUCAGGAGGAACACCAGUGGCGAAGGCGGUUCUCUGGGCCUUUCCUGACGCUGAGGAGCGAAAGCGUGGGGAGCGAACAGGCUUAGAUACCCUGGUAGUCCACGCUGUAAACGGUGGGUACUAGGUGUGGGGUCCAUUCCACGGGUUCCGUGCCGUAGCUAACGCUUUAAGUACCCCGCCUGGGGAGUACGGCCGCAAGGCUAAAACUCAAAGGAAUUGACGGGGCCCCGCACAAGCGGCGGAGCAUGCGGAUUAAUUCGAUGCAACGCGUAGAACCUUACCUGGGUUUGACAUGGAUCGGGAGCGCUCAGAGAUGGGUGUGCCUCUUUUGGGGUCGGUUCACAGGUGGUGCAUGGCUGUCGUCAGCUCGUGUCGUGAGAUGUUGGGUUAAGUCCCGCAACGAGCGCAACCCUUGUUCACUGUUGCCAGCACGUUAUGGUGGGGACUCAGUGGAGACCGCCGGGGUCAACUCGGAGGAAGGUGGGGAUGACGUCAAGUCAUCAUGCCCCUUAUGUCCAGGGCUUCACGCAUGCUACAAUGGCUGGUACAGAGAGUGGCGAGCCUGUGAGGGUGAGCGAAUCUCGGAAAGCCGGUCUCAGUUCGGAUUGGGGUCUGCAACUCGACCUCAUGAAGUCGGAGUCGCUAGUAAUCGCAGAUCAGCAACGCUGCGGUGAAUACGUUCCCGGGGCU